GCCAAGAUCCUGAUGAGAGCUGACUCUGCCCACCUUCCUGCCCUGAACCCUGACUACAGAAGUUUGCGAAGCCACCAUCACCACCCAGCUCUCCCACUUUCCUGUCCCCAGCCAUGUCAGCCAAGGAGACCGAGUUCCCUGUUCAGGCUGCUCCCUCCCUGAUCCCCGCAGAGGAUGGACGCUUCCCCCUGUGGGCAACAAUACCGUGGUGCAGCACCAACAGGGCGUCCUUCCCUUCCCACCGCCGCUGCUGCCAUCUUAGAAGCACCGCAGACACCAGCUCACCUGCCCUUCACUCUACCUGACCCAGCCUCCACCCCCAGGAAGAGGCAUCAUUGCAAGACCGAGGGAUGAAUUCAUACUUUUUAAUAAAGGAAUCUUCAAAUAGCCCUUGUAGCUAUUCCAUCAAUCCACUGGAGCACCAGCCACAGAGACAACUCAUUCACUAGGAAAACCACAGGAGCAGAGAAGAGGCUGCUGAGGCUGGGAGGAGAGAUGACUUGUGAGGUCUCAGCCGCCACUGCCACCACCACCAAUGAAACAUCUACUCCCUCAGAGGGGCCGACCCUGUGGGGCCUGCAAAGAGGAGAAGCCCACUUUGUUGGGCUGCCCUCCCCCCCUUGUGAAGCUGGCUGCUCUGAUGCCGUGUUCCUGUCCUCAGAUUGAACCCCAGAAGGCAAUAUAACAGACUCCUAUGGACCCAGCGCCGAGCUGGGGCAAGAGCCCUCCUCUGAAUGCUGCUCUGAGUUGCUGGGCAACUGCUCCCCUUCUCUGACUCAGUGGUACAGGGGAAAGAGCUGGGAGGUCCCUUCCUGGGCAGGCUGAGGUACCCAGAUUUGUGGAUGCUGUCCUUCACUCUCCACCCCCCCACUCCUUCAUCUACUCCCUUCUCCCCAUGCACGUACCCAUCCAGAGCCACAUCAGACCAGGAGCAACAAGAGCCGGAGCAGGUGCACAGAGCCAGACAACCAUCCCCGGGAGGCCCUCAGCCCAGGCAUCUCAGCCCAGCCUUGUCCCACUCCAGUGGGCAGGGAGAGCCCAGCUCAGGGACCUGGGGAAGGGGUAAGAAUGGUGUCUCCUGCCCCAUUAUCCCUCUGUGGGGGUGGGGCAGGGAUGGAGGUGCCACGGCUGCCUCUGACACAGCUCCUCUCCUUGGGUAAGAGCCUCUUUCUGUUCCCCAAGCCAAAGCCAACAAGCCAAUUAAACCCUGAGAAAGCAGAAUCGAUCUGCAGGCCAAGGGAUUACAUUGAUCUGCAGUGCUGGUACCCAGGGGGCCAUGGCUGCCUCCCCCUCGAGCCUGGAGCUCCUUCUACUGCCAUCUUCAGCUGAGCAAUGAGCAAUCCUCCCCCUUCGCAUCUCUAUCCUCCCGCACCCCUCCACCCCUGCCACACCCUGUCCGACUGCCUAUCCCCUCUCUGUUGGUCUGGGCUGAGCCUGAGGCCAUCUGUUCAGACCUAUUCAUUCACAUCACAUAAGUGCAGGUGAGGUGAUGCCAUGAAGCCUCUGUCCUUUGGGCGAUCUCUCUUCAUCUCAGUCAACCAGGGAAGGGGGCUACUGCUCUUGACCUCAGUUUGCAGUUGUGACCUGCAAGGACACAGAGUACCCAGCACCCCAAGGGUUAGCAGGUAGCAUUCCCCACACAGAGCGUGGGAGUGGGUGAACAUGGAGCUUAGGGAACCUUCUCCGGUAAAUAAAAAAGGAGAAUG